AGCCUAACAACCAUAAUCUACGUGCCUCCGGUACAAUCUGAUGCAAAAACAGCAAUCUGGGUCCACCGUCAACCCGACGGCAUCUGACAGCCCGGAACAGACUAUACUCUACUGUAAAAAUAAUCUCGGCAUUCCAGCACGAGCGUAAUUCCAUUCUACACUAUUAUGGAUAUCCAUCGUCCACAACUGUGGCGAUACAAACAAACUACGGCUCCUAAAACUAAAUAUAGUAGUUUUAGAAAAUGACGGUAUAGAAUCGAUAGUUUUCUCCUAAGUCAAUUUUCAAGUCCAACAUGUAUAAUUUAUCUAAAUCACUACUGUAUGCUCCAAAUUCAGAUUUCAACUAGCAUGCAAAUCAACGAAUUCGAGCUCAAAUAACAUGAUAUACAAAGACUAAAAUUAUACAUACUGACAUCAACUA
rnacentral:lncRNA from 1 species